UACGUAGGGUGCGAGCGUUGUCCGGAAUUAUUGGGCGUAAAGAGCUCGUAGGCGGUCUGUCGCGUCGAUCGUGAAAACUUGGGGCUUAACCCUGAGCUUGCGGUCGAUACGGGCAUGACUGGAGUUCGGCAGGGGAGACUGGAAUUCCUGGUGUAGCGGUGAAAUGCGCAGAUAUCAGGAGGAACACCGGUGGCGAAGGCGGGUCUCUGGGCCG
rnacentral:rRNA from 1 species